AUCCACAUACAAACUCAAAAAAGCAAAAUUAACAAGAAAACGGACACGCAGGGACUAAGUCCAAUAUAUGCAUAUCUUCUAGAACUUUCUAACAGACCAUUUUUCGAUGGUCCAGUUGAUGAAUGACAUUUAACCUAACAUUGUUUAUUGCGUAUUACAAUAUUGCGUUUCUUAAUUGAUAAUCAUUUAAUGUUACCCUGUUUGAUAUUUGUGUCUACUUUUGUACAUUUCUUAGACUUAGAGAUCAACCUCGCAUUCAUUGCCCUGAGGAAGAAGCAAAAAAGCUUCGAAAGCUAGGCUUUACAUGAAUAAAGAGUAAAUAUA